GGGAUGGCCUAAGGGCUCUGUGGAGGUCAGCAAGCUGAUCCAUAAAAAGGCGCCCAGCAAUCAGCUGACUUUGUUGUGCACUGAAAAGGAGCGGCAAAGGUGCCUUAAAGCCUCAUCUGGAGAAGAUCCCAUGUGGGUGGAAGACCAUCAUGAAGCUCAACCCCACGGGAUGCUACACUCUGACCUCCACAAGCAAUGAGGAGCACCGAACAGCAGCCUGGAUAGGGCUUUAUCCAGAAGGAUGGAGAGAGGAGAGAGUGAGAUUUAUGGCCCUGCCACGAGGCUCCCAGCACCUCCCAGCCCAGCGACACAGCUCGGGAUGGGGAUGGAGCAAGGGACGGCUCGGGCUCCCUUUGCCUUUCCCAGAUGGCACCGGGGUUUAGAGACAGAGCAGCGCCAACAGCUCACACUGCGGCAAUAAUGAGAGCUGUUUAAUGAAGGUUGAGUCAAUAAAAACAUGCUCCCCU